AAACGACUCUCGGCAACGGAUAUCUCGGCUCUCGCAUCGAUGAAGAACGCAGCGAAAUGCGAUACUUGGUGUGAAUUGCAGAAUCCCGCGAACCAUCGAGUCUUUGAACGCAAGUUGCGCCCGAAGCCAUUAGGUUGAGGGCACGUCUGCCUGGGCGUCUCACGU
rnacentral:rRNA from 1 species